GACGAACGCUGGCGGCGUGCCUAAUACAUGCAAGUCGAACGCAGUGGGGACGGGUGAGUAAAACGUGCGUAAGCUCCCAUCAGAGGGGAUAACACUUGCAAACAGGUGCUAAACCGAUAUUGAUUGAUGGAUCCGCGGUGCAUUAGCUAGUGGGUGGGGUAACGGCUCACCAAGGCCACGAUGCAUCGCCGGCCUGAGAGGGUGAUCGGCCACACUGGGACGGAGACACGGCCCAGACUCCUACGGGAGGCAGCAGUAGGGAAUCUUCGACAAUGGACGAAAGGCUGACGGAGCAACGCCGCGUGAGUGAAGAAGGUUUUCGGAUCGUAAAGCUCUGUUGUUAGGGAGGCGGUAUCUAACCAGAAAGCCACGGCUAACUACGUGCCAGCAGCCGCGGUAAUAC
rnacentral:rRNA from 1 species